rnacentral:tRNA from 1 species
GCGCGGUUAGCUCAGUGGUAGAGCACUACAUUGACACUGUAGGGGUCACAGGUUCAAACCCUGUAUCGCGCACCA